rnacentral:rRNA from 1 species
UACGUAGGGGGCGAGCGUUGUCCGGAAUUACUGGGCGUAAAGGGUGCGUAGGCGGCUGACUAAGUUGGAUGUGAAAUACCCGGGCUUGACUUGGGGGGUGCAUUCAAAACUGGCCGGCUUGAGUGCAGGAGAGGGAAGCGGAAUUCCUAGUGUAGCGGUGAAAUGCGUAGAUAUUAGGAGGAACACCAGUGGCGAAGGCGGCUUUCUGGACUGUAACUGACGCUGAGGCACGAAAGCGUGGGGAGCAAAC